rnacentral:rRNA from 1 species
GAUGAACGCUGGCGGCGUGCUUAACACAUGCAAGUCGAACGAACCUUCGGGUUAGUGGCGGACGGGUGAGUAACGCGUGAGAAUUUGCCCUCAGGAGGGGGAUAACGGCUGGAAACGGCCGCUAAUACCCCAUAUGCCGCGAGGUGAAAUGAAUUUCGCCUGAGGAUGAGCUCGCGUUUGAUUAGCUAGUUGGUGGGGUAAAGGCCUACCAAGGCUUCGAUCAGUAGCUGGUUUGAGAGGAUGAUCAGCCCCACUGGGACUGAGACACGGCCCAGACUCCUACGGGAGGCAGCAGUGGGGAAUUUUCCGCAAUGGGCGAAAGCCUGACGGAGCAACGCCGCGUGAGGGAUGAAGGCCUUUGGGCUGUAAACCUCUUUUAUCAAGGAAGAAGAUUUGACGGUAAGGGAUGAAUAAGCCCCGGCUAAUUCCGUG